rnacentral:rRNA from 1 species
GACAGAGGGUGCAAACGUUGUUCGGAAUUACUGGGCGUAAAGCGCGUGUAGGCGGCCCGGAAAGUCGGAUGUGAAAGCCCUGGGCUUAACCUAGGAAGUGCAUUCGAUACUGCCGUGCUUGAGGACUGGAGAGGAGACUGGAAUUUACGGUGUAGCGGUGAAAUGCGUAGAUAUCGUAAGGAAGACCAGUGGCGAAGGCGGGUCUCUGGACAGUUCCUGACGCUGAGGCACGAAGGUCAGGGGAGCAAACGGG